rnacentral:rRNA from 1 species
GAUGAACGCUGGCGGCGUGCCUAAUACAUGCAAGUCGAGCGAACAGAUGAGGAGCUUGCUCCUCUGACGUUAGCGGCGGACGGGUGAGUAACACGUGGAUAACCUACCUAUAAGACUGGGAUAACUUCGGGAAACCGGAGCUAAUACCGGAUAAUAUAUUGAACCGCAUGGUUCAAUAGUGAAAGACGGUUUUGCUGUCACUUAUAGAUGGAUCCGCGCCGCAUUAGCUAGUUGGUAAGGUAACGGCUUACCAAGGCAACGAUGCGUAGCCGACCUGAGAGGGUGAUCGGCCACACUGGAACUGAGACACGGUCCAGACUCCUACGGGAGGCAGCAGUAGGGAAUCUUCCGCAAUGGGCGAAAGCCUGACGGAGCAACGCCGCGUGAGUGAUGAAGGUCUUCAGAUCGUAAAACUCUGUUAUUAGGGAAGAACAAAUGUGUGAGUAACUAUGCACGUCUUGACGGUACCUAAUCAGAAAGCCACGGCUAACUACGUG